UCGGAGGAAAAGAAACCAACUGGGAUUACCUUAGUAACGGCGAGUGAAGCGGUAAAAGCUCAAAUUUGAAAUCUGGUACUUUCAGUGCCCGAGUUGUAAUUUGUAGAAUUUGUCUUUGAUUAGGUCCUUGUCUAUGUUCCUUGGAACAGGACGUCAUAGAGGGUGAGAAUCCCGUUUGGCGAGGAUACCUUUUCUCUGUAAGACUUUUUCGAAGAGUCGAGUUGUUUGGGAAUGCAGCUCAAAGUGGGUGGUAAAUUCCAUCUAAAGCUAAAUAUUGGCGAGAGACCGAUAGCGAACAAGUACAGUGAUGGAAAGAUGAAAAGAACUUUGAAAAGAGAGUGAAAAAGUACGUGAAAUUGUUGAAAGGGAAGGGCAUUUGAUCAGACAUGGUGUUUUUUGCAUGCACUCGCCUCUCGUGGGCUUGGGCCUCUCAAAAAUUUCACUGGGCCAACAUCAAUUCUGGCAGCAGGAUAAAUCAUUAAGAAUGUAGCUACUUCGGUAGUGUUAUAGCUUUUUGGAAUACUGUUAGCCGGGAUUGAGGACUGCGCUUCGGCAAGGAUGUUGGCAUAAUGGUUAAAUGCCGCCCGUC
rnacentral:rRNA from 1 species